GGUAAACAUAGCAGUUUCUCUGAAACUGCUGUGUUUACAGAAAAAAGGGUUAAACCUAGCUGGACCUGGCACCCAUACCACUUAAUUAAGCUGAAGUGGUCUGGGUGCCUAUAGUGUUCCUUUAAUGGCUUUAUCAAAACAAAGAAAACAUUUGGUUUGUCCAAAUCAAUUUGUCUGAGGGAAAAAAAAAAAGUUGUUUGGAGUGUUUGUCCAUGUGGUGUUUUAGUUUGGACGGAUUUAGACUAUUCCAUCGUUUCAGGAAUAAAGAUUCAGAGAAUCCGAAACUGAACGAAAAUGGGCCAUAUUUGCAGAGCUCCGAAAUAAACUAAAUACCUCAUCUUACUUGUUACGUGAUCU